rnacentral:RNase_P_RNA from 2 species
CCAGAUCGAAAGCCGCAUUUGCUCGUCACAUACAGGUCUUCUAGACUACUCUCGCGAGCGGGCCAAGGUCUGAGCAUUCUAGUCCCUCUGUGCUUGCGUCUAGCUGGCGCCGACCGUAACUGGUCGAGCAGAGCAUCAGACACGCGUUUAUCGUGCAUUGAUGUAUCGCCCGGAGAUCCGCGAGGGGAGGGUUACAUGUGCGACGAGCUUGGAACAACUCUGCAGGGACAGGGCCCACUUUUUAUCCUCCCUCCCUUUUUUAUAAACAAAAAACUCCCCCUGCCCGAACAUGUCUUUCGGACCCAGCGCGCUUGUACAGCGCAACUCGACCUCUGAUCACGCACUGAUACAGCCGUUUGAGACGGGUCGAGAAUGCUCAGAGAGGGGCGGUGGGUUCCCCGGUGAUCGAUACGAACACUAGUUCAAGUUCAAUUCCCGGACCCCCGUUCGGUGUGUAAUUUUGCGAUUCAUGUCGCUUAUACUACUACUACUACUACAGCGCAGACGUGUAAUUUCCUGCUGCUUUUUUUAAUGCUUGCGUGCUUAUGUUACGAGCUCUAUAGUACAAGUAACCCGGAUGGCCGCCUGUUUAGAUGGCGCUGUGGCCCAAUUAUGUGUUGCCCGCACCGCCUUUCUCGUGGGUUACGAGGACGUGUUUUCGGGUUUGGGGUGGUGGCUUGUGAGGAGGGGGAGGGAGAGAGGUGUGGCCCUUGAGUUCACUUUGCGGCUCGCGGUCCUUUUUUGGGGGGGUUGCGAAACUCGAUUCAGACUACUCUUGGUCUGU